rnacentral:lncRNA from 1 species
GUAAGGUGUGGUUGAGACUAUCUGGACUGUGCACUUGACUGAAUCCUGAACCCCAUUAAGGCUUCUAUAUAAACUUUUAAGAUAUAGUGGGUGGGUGCGGAGACUUGCCUUGUGGCUUCCUGAGACAAGCCUGAUGUGUCCCUUCGUCUCAGAAGUGACUUCAGAUUGUAGUCAGAGAAGCAGAUCUAAGGGGACACAGGAAGAUUAGCCCUGAACUAACAUCCGCCACCAAUCCUCCUCUUUUUGCUGAGGAAGACUGGCCCUGAGCUAAGAUCCAUGCCCAUCUUCUUCUACUUUAUAUGUGGGACACCUACCCAGCGUGGCUUGACAAGCAGUGUGUAGGUGCGCAUCCAGAAUCCGAACCGGCGAACCCCAGGCCACCAAAGUGGAACAUGCACACUUACCUGCUGUGUCACCAGCUGGCCUCUCUCCCUAGAUUUUUAAUUUCUUUCCC